UCUAACCUGGGCGACACAGCUAGACCCCAUCUCAAAAACAAACAAACAAAACAAUCCAAGCCCAUUCCAGACCAAAUAAAUUAGAAUCUGUGGAGGCAGAGCCCAGGCAUCUGUAUUUUUUAAAGCUCCCAGGUAAUUUUAAUGGGCCACCACUACGGACUUGCACAACUGGAAGACUAUCCGUAGUGGUGUACCACCUUUCAGAAUGGACCCUCAAUUUGGGUAUGACCUUAAAGUGAAAAAUCUGCCACUUGUAGUUCCAGUUUAUUCAUCAUUUACUCAACCAGUAUUGGCUGUGCACCUACUAUGUCAUGCCUGGCCCUGUGCUAGGUACUGGAUAGUCAACAGUGAACAUGAUGCACUCCCUGGCCUUAGGAGCUGAGAAUUCUGCAUUACUGAAACAUGUUUUUGCCAGCCUCCACUACAAGGAAAUGCUAUGAGGUUAAUGACUGGUGGGUUGUCAGCUUUGGGAAGGCUAGACCUUAUCAUUUGCUGUGUAGCACCAACGUUCAUUUGGACACCUCGUUGACCUCUGUAAUGCAGAAUGAGGUGAUUAGUUUUCUUUAAGAUUCUCUUAGAGUUGAAUAUAUUAUUCAUAAAAAUUCCUUCUGAGGAUAAAUUCUAACAUUAAUUUAUUCUGAGGACCAAAUUAGGGAUCAGCAUAUGAUGAAACAAGUGCUCUGUGGUCUCACUCGCCCUGAGGUCAUUGAUCUAUAGGGAACACAG
rnacentral:lncRNA from 1 species